CCUCAUCAACCCUCACAGCUGCAGACACAGCAGCGCGGCGUGGUAUGAGGUGAGUGGUGUUUACAUCACCUGGUGCAUAUUAGUGAGAGGUGAGAGAAAACGGUUAGUUUGGUGAAGCGAGUGACUAAAUCAUUGCAUGACCGGUGUUCUCUUAUCAAUAUUGUGUUUUUAGUGUUUACACUUCUUCAUUAUGACCACCGUAGCUGUAUACAGAGAAACAGGCAGUCACAAUAAGAAGAGUGAAUGCAAGAGAAAUUGUGGGAAAUGAUCCGAUAUGUGUGGUCCUUUAUGCAGAUAAUGUAGUGGUUAUGAGUUCAUAUAAUAUAGUUUUACCACACCAAACUAAUGCCUCAUAUGUGCAACCUCACCCACCCCGCAACCCCACAACAUGCCCCUGGACACCCACUCCAGUACUCCAUCUGUUCAGUCCUGGAAGCAGCCUCAUUCACCUCACUUCCUAACUUAAAAAGGAGAAAUUCUGUGUCCGAACCAACAGAAGUUUACUCUUGAGUUCGAAGGAGAGACUGACAAGAGCCGAGUAAACAUCCGGACAGAGGAGUAUUUGCCAUGAGAUAGCCGUGACGUGUAAAUACGGAGUACGGCAGGAAGGGAGGAGACAAGGAGGGGAAGAUGGGAAUGGAGGGAGAGGUGGAGGAGAGAUGCACGUCACAACUAUUUCACGGAAAGGUUUCUUCUGUCCGGGUGUCUACUCGACUCUUGCGAGUUUCGCCUUCAAAGCCAAAUGAAACCCACUUGACAAUGCUCUGUAGUGUCAUGCAACAGGGCACAGCGUCAAAUAAGUUGUGGCAAAACGUCAGAUUGAUCCAACAGUUUGUUCAGAAAAUAAUUGCGAAAAACGAUGAUCUGAAAUGGAAAGUUACCUACCUACGUAGUUACUUGCCUGCCUGCCUGCCAUGUAAGGCCAACAGGAAAGGACACAAACACACGCAGUAUAUACACAAUCACAAGUCAACUGAAGAAUCACACAAGCAUGACAUUCAUCCCAAUUAACCUCUAUUAUUAUGCAUGUACGAGCCCCACUGCUCUCUGAAUCAAGCGGGGAAGAACCUGACGAACACACACACACACACACACACACACACACACCUGUAGCUCGAGACACGUGAAGAGUGCCGUAACAUUUACAGUAAGUAGCCUUACCUGAGCCUACCUGAUGAUUCCGAUGGGUGUGUCUGGUACUAGUACAUAGAAUGGGAUGAAAAUACAUAAGGAGAGAGAGAGAGAGAGAGAGAGAGAGAGAGAGAGAGAGAGAGAGAGAGAGAGAGAGAGAGAGAGAGAGAGAGA